GUGAAGUCAGAGAGAAGCCAUGUAGCCCUGCUGGAGCCAGACAGAACUUUACUCGCUUCACCAACAGGCGAAAGAAAACAGAAACAAGAACCACAUGAUACUGUUUGAAAAGAAAAAUAGAAGUAUUCUUUGAUGCCCCAGGCCUGGGAGAAGUCUGAAUGAGUAAACACAAGGAAGCCCUCCCCACCUCUACUCCAACCGGGAGGAGUCACUGGGACUCUGAACUUGGAGCCACACCAAUCCGCUCAGAGGAAGAACUUUGCGCUCCGCCCCUUGGACGCCGUCACCAGAAAGGCCUGGCACUGUGACCCUUGAGAGGCCUGACUUGGAUACCCUGACCUGCCAGUGGCAAGGGCUUCAGCACUUAUGCGUGAAAGGACUCCAGGCAGCGCUGAGCUGGCACAGAGACACCACCAGAACUCCCGGGUUGUGUUCAGAAUCCUUCUUAAUCUAAAGCACUGAGGACCAGAGAUGUGUCCAGAGGGUCAAAAUGAAACAAGACUCGUUGACAAAGCAGGUGAACGUAAGACAUGCCAGCACCUUGAAGCAUCCUGUAUCUCCAAGAAGACAGAGGACACAGAAGAACUUUCACCUGGAAGCUUGCUUUAAAUGUGGCAAUGCCAGCCACUGAGCCAAAAUCCUGCCUUUCACCUCAACUGCUACAAAGACCUUGUUCAAACUGUGAACAAGGGGAGCAAUGGAAGAUCAAUUGUCCUACCCUGCCAAGACAGCAACCUACCUUCUUCACCUCCUCAAGAAACAGAUACCUGUGGUCUUCAGGAUGGCAGUUAACUGGAUGUUUCUCCACCCAUACCUCUUUCUGAGCAUGAGCCCACCAACUCCUGACUCUUCCCUCCCACACACACACAUAAUCCCAUGCCUUCGGGAUGCAGUCAGACAUGAAUUGGAGCCCAUAUACCCAAAGAGUCUGGGAAGUUCUGGUCGAUGCUCCACCUCAGUCCCCCAUUUCUCUUUCCCAAAACCCUGCCCCAUUCCAGAAAGUGUGCCCUCGUGUAUAGUAGGAGCUCAUUGUUCAUUUCCCAGUAGCCCAGAUUUCCAAAAUAACCACACAGAAAGGGUAUUAAUUAAAUCACUGCUUGGUCUUAACAGCUCCAGCGGGCUACACGGCUUCUCUUUGACUCUGUCUUCUCCCAGCAUUCAGUUUAGUUUUUCCUGCCUUGCUCUGUUCUACCCUAUCAGGCCAAGCUAGUUUCUUCUUUUUUUUUUUAGAGAAAAGCAUAAUUUUAUUUUUAUCAUAAACAAAAUAUUAGUUACAAUUUUGACUAACUUAUUCCCACAUUUUAGGCCACUUUUUUUCUGAUAAUUUUUAUUACUUUAUAAAUAAUACCAUUCAAAAUUUCCACUUCCUCUCCUCCUCCCACUUCUCUCCUGCUUUCCCACUCACCCUUCU